AUGGGUCUUUAUCUCUCCAGUGGACCCUGAGCUCCUCUUCAGCCCCACAGACGCACAGGCUCUGGCGCUCUUUGGUUCCGAGGAGAACCACCUGGCAGUGAAGCAGUGCGUCCUGCAGGAGCGUGGAGAGGUAAGGCCUGACGGAACAAUCGACCCUCAGCCCUUCCUGGACAGGCUGACUCCCGCCCUUAACGACACUCGUCCUGACCUCCUCGACCGCCUCGUUUCUGGCGCAGAGUUCUGCUCGCCUCAAAGCAUUGAGGAGUGGGAGGCCUGCAUCUUCUACGAAUGCUUCCUGGGGGAUUUCACAACACCUGUGCCUACAACUGUUGUUCCUGAGGAGUAAUGGUGUGAAAUCAUUCCUUUCUCCCGUGGAAAUCUUCAUGCCACGACAGUGUAAAUUAAACUAUAAUGACUAUAAAAGAUUUCGAAUUAUUA